CCUACGGGUGGCAGCAGUGAGGAAUAUUGGUCAAUGGCCGGAAGGCUGAACCAGCCAUGCCGCGUGAAGGUCAGUGCCCUAUGGGCGUUAAACUUCUUUUGUGCGGGAGCAAUAAUGGUCACGUGUGGCCCGACGAGAGUACCGUACGAAUAAGCAUCGGCUAACUCCGUGCCAGCAGCCGCGGUAAUACGGGGGAUGCAAGCGUUAUCCGGAGUAAUUGGGUUUAAAGGGGGCGUAGGCGGUGAGGUAAGUCAGCGGUGAAAUGCCCCCGCUCAACGGGGUGAAGUGCCAUUGAUACUGCCUUGCUGGAAUGCGGAUGCCGUGGGAGGAAUGUGUGGUGUAGCGGUGAAAUGCAUAGAUAUCACACAGAACACCGAUUGCGAAGGCAUCUCACGAAUCCGCGAUUGACGCUGAUGCACGAAAGCGUGGGUAUCAAACAGGAUUAGAUACCCGAGUAGUC
rnacentral:rRNA from 1 species